rnacentral:rRNA from 1 species
AACGAACGCUGCGGCGCGUCUUAAGCAUGCAAGUCGAACGGCAAGAGAGGAGCUUGCUUCUCUCCUAGAGUGGCGGACUGGUAGGAACACGUGGGUAAUCUACCCUUAAGAUGGGGAUAGCUGCUAGAAAUAGCAGGUAAUACCGAAUACACUCAAAGUUUCACAAGAAGUUUUGAGGAAAGGAAGCUACGGCUUCGCUUGAGGAUGAGCUUGCGUCCCAUUAGCUAGUUGGUGAGGUAAAGGCCCACCAAGGCGACGAUGGGUAUCCGGCCUGAGAGGGUGAACGGACACAUUGGGACUGAGAUACGGCCCAAACUCCUACGGGAGGCAGCAGCUAAGAAUAUUCCGCAAUGGACGGAAGUCUGACGGAGCGACGCCGCGUGGAUGAAGAAGGCUGAAAAGUUGUAAAAUCCUUUUGUUGAUGAAGAAUAAGGGUGAGAGGGAAUGCUCAUCUGAUGACGGUAAUCGGCGAAUAAGCCCGGCUA